AAAGCUUUGCCUUCUGGCUCAGGAGCAGGGAAAGAAAUAAAAAAAGAAUGAAUGUAGUUCCUUUUCUUUUUCAGGUCACAGCUGAAAUUAACCAUGAACUAUUUAACACUGAAACGGAGGAGAAAGCUGAAAAACUAGGAGAGCAGCUGCUUGAAAACUGGAAAUCCUCAGUCUUGAAGAAGGAGGCUGGUUUUACAGGAACAGAGGUGACCCUAGGAGUUCGAGGGGCUGCUGGGACAGACUGCCUGCCCACCUGGAGUAAAGGAGAAAUAGAAAAAAUGGGAGUGAAACCGUAGCAGUACUAGGAUUGUGGAGCUGCCCAGUUUUAAUAUACAGCUCACAGGUCUGGGGUCUGCCCUGAAAUCCCAGUUCACGGGGAGUCUCCAGUCCU